GAUGAACGCUGGCGGCGUGCCUAAUACAUGCAAGUCGAGCGAACAGACGAGGAGCUUGCUCCUCUGACGUUAGCGGCGGACGGGUGAGUAACACGUGGAUAACCUACCUAUAAGACUGGGAUAACUUCGGGAAACCGGAGCUAAUACCGGAUAAUAUAUUGAACCGCAUGGUUCAAUAGUGAAAGACGGUUUUGCUGUCACUUAUAGAUGGAUCCGCGCCGCAUUAGCUAGUUGGUAAGGUAACGGCUUACCAAGGCAACGAUGCGUAGCCGACCUGAGAGGGUGAUCGGCCACACUGGAACUGAGACACGGUCCAGACUCCUACGGGAGGCAGCAGUAGGGAAGCUGCCGCAAUGGGCGAAAGCCUGACGGAGCAACGCCGCGUGAGUGAUGAGGGUCUUCGGAUCGUAAAACUCUGUUAUUAGGGAAGAACAAAUGUGUAAGUAACUAUGCACGGCUUGACGGUACCUAAUCAGAAAGCCACGGCUAACUACGUG
rnacentral:rRNA from 1 species